CCUACGGGAGGCUGCAGUCGAGAAUCAUUCACAAUGGGGGAAACCCUGAUGGUGCGACGCCGCGUGGGGGAAUGAAGGUCUUCGGAUUGUAAACCCCUGUCAUGUGGGAGCAAAUUAAAAAGAUAGUACCACAAGAGGAAGAGACGGCUAACUCUGUGCCAGCAGCCGCGGUAAUACAGAGGUCUCAAGCGUUGUUCGGAAUCACUGGGCGUAAGGCGUGCGUAGGCUGUUUCGUAAGUCGUGUGUGAAAGGCGCGGGCUCAACCCGCGGACGGCACAUGAUACUGCGAGACUAGAGUAAUGGAGGGGGAACGGGAAUUCUCGGUGUAGCAGUGAAAUGCGUAGAUAUCGAGAGGAACACUCGUGGCGAAGGCGGGUUCCUGGACAUUAACUGACGCUGAGGCACGAAGGCCAGGGGAGCGAAAGGGAUUAGAUACCCGGGUAGUC
rnacentral:rRNA from 1 species